rnacentral:rRNA from 1 species
AUUGAACGCUGGCGGCAGGCCUAACACAUGCAAGUCGAGCGGAUGAAGAGAGCUUGCUCUCUGAUUUGGCGGCGGACGGGUGAGUAAUGCCUAGGAAUCUGCCUGGUAGUGGGGGAUAACGUUCCGAAAGGAACGCUAAUACCGCAUACGUCCUACGGGAGAAAGCAGGGGACCUUCGGGCCUUGCGCUAUCAGAUGAGCCUAGGUCGGAUUAGCUAGUUGGUGAGGUAAUGGCUCACCAAGGCGACGAUCCGUAACUGGUCUGAGAGGAUGAUCAGUCACACUGGAACUGAGACACGGUCCAGACUCCUACGGGAGGCAGCAGUGGGAAAUAUUGGACAAUGGGCGAAAGCCUGAUCCAGCCAUGCCGCGUGUGUGAAGAAGGUCUUCGGAUUGUAAAGCACUUUAAGUUGGGAGGAAGGGCAUUAACCUAAUACGUUAGUGUUUUGACGUUACCAACAGAAUAAGCACCGGCUAACUUCGUGCCAGCCGCCGCAGUAAGAC